AGAGUGGCGAACGGGUGAGUAACACGUGGGUAACCUACCUCUUAGCAGGGGAUAACAUUUGGAAACAAGUGCUAAUACCGUAUAAUACCAACAACCGCAUGGUUGUUGGUUGACAGAUGGUUCUGCUAUCACUAAGAGAUGGACCCGCGGUGCAUUAGCUAGUUGGUAAGGUAACGGCUUACCAAGGCAAUGAUGCAUAGCCGAGUUGAGAGACUGAUCGGCCACAAUGGGACUGAGACACGGCCCAUACUCCUACGGGAGGCAGCAGUAGGGAAUCUUCCACAAUGGGCGCAAGCCUGAUGGAGCAACGCCGCGUGUGUGAUGAAGGGUUUCGGCUCGUAAAACACUGUUAUAAGAGAAGAACGGCACUGAGAGUAACUGUUCAGUGUGUGACGGUAUCUUACCAGAAAGGAACGGCUAAAUACGUGCCAGCAGCCGCGGUAAUACGUAUGUUCCAAGCGUUAUCCGGAUUUAUUGGGCGUAAAGCGAGCGCAGACGGUUAUUUAAGUCUGAAGUGAAAGCCCUCAGCUCAACUGAGGAAUGGCUUUGGAAACUGGAUGACUUGAGUGCAGUAGAGGAAAGUGGAACUCCAUGUGUAGCGGUGAAAUGCGUAGAUAUAUGGAAGAACACCAGUGGCGAAGGCGGCUUUCUGGACUGUAACUGACGUUGAGGCUCGAAAGUGUGGGUAGCAAACAGGAUUAGAUACCCUGGU
rnacentral:rRNA from 1 species